rnacentral:rRNA from 1 species
UGAUGAUGAAAAUCAGUAUAUAUGUACCGAGGUAUGUAUAUAUAUUGACUAUGUCAAAUAAAGUUCUAGAUAGAUAAAUGAUAAUGACAAACUUCUAUCUAUAUGUCUUGACCAAGUCUUGUGCCAGCAGUCGCGGCAAUACAAGGAAGACUAGUGUUAUUCAUCUUUAUUAGGUUUAAAGGGUACCUAGACGGUUUUGCUAGCUCCAAAAAAGUACGGCAAAACUAGAGUUUGAUGGGAGAGGUAUAUAUUAGGGCUAUUGGUGUAGAGAUGAAAUUCUUUGAUACUAAUGGAACGGAUAACGGCGAAGGCAACCCUCUAUGUACAAACUGACGUUGAGGGACGAAGGCUUGGGGAGCAAAUAGGAUUAGAUACCCUAGUAGUCCAGGCAGAAAAUUAUGAAUGUUAUAGACUGAGUAAAAAGUUGGUGUAUAAAUGAAAGUGUAAGCAUUCCACCUCAAGAGUAAUGUGGCAACACAGGAACUGAAAUCAUUAGACCGUUUCUGAAACCAGUAGUGAAGUAUGUUAUUUAAUUCGAUGACCCUCGAAAAACCUUACCACAAUUUGAAUGAUUUCUGUUUAAUACCUAAUUAGGGUCCUUUAAACGGGAUUACAGAUUUAACAAGCGUUGCACGGCUGUCUUCAGUUAAUGUCGUGAGAUUUUGGUUAGAUCCAUUAAAUUAACGUAAACCCUUGCUUCUAUUAAUUCUACUAUAAUUAUGAGGCAGUUCACCACUAUAUUGGAUACGAUAACAG